rnacentral:lncRNA from 13 species
AUGAAAUAUGCUAUCCAGAAAAAAGUCAGAAAGUGUUCAUGUAUGCACUGCAUUGUUAUGUUUCUUUAUAGAACAAAACGAAUCCUGUGUUUUUUGGAUCCUUUUCUCAAGUCAGUGCCAGUGAUGCAGGGCUGUUUCACCAUGUUGGCCAAGCUGGCCUCAAACUCCUGUCCUCGUGAUCUGCCUGCCUUGGUCUCCCAAAGUGCUGGGAUUACAGGUGUGAGUCACUGUAGCUGGCUGGUUCUUUUUACUUUUAAAUGUGAUAUGGUUACUAUAAAAUGUGAAGUCAUAUGUAUGGCUUGCAUUUGUGGCCCAGGUUAUAUUUCUAC